ensembl:lncRNA
UAGUUCUGCUAAGUGAGAUAUACUCAGCCCAGUCUGUGUCAAGAGGCACUAUUGUUGUGGUUUAAAGAUCCCUCACAGACAUGUCUCCAAGCAUAUGUGAGUUCAUGUAUGUGUUCUAAAAGCAGCCGUGGUAACAUGUUAUUUGAGAUGCUUGAUUCCAUCACAGAUCAUGAAGUCCCAAAUUUGUUGCAAGAACCCAGUAGUAAACAGCACCACCUAAUCUCAUGGGAACUGCCUUGAAUGGACCGGAGUAUUGUCUUCUGCCCAACCCUGCUUUAACCAUCCUCUUUCAGCUUUGGUCAGGGUGAGGAUCAUUUGGUCUUCUGAUAUUGUUGAGCUAUAGCGCCUGUAUUGCCAUUAGUCAUGCUGUUUGGUAUUUUUGGAAGCUGAAAUUCAAAAACACUGGGAAGGAUAAACACUCCCCACCCAUAUUGCUAAGCAACAAAUAGCUUGUGAGAUGCCGAAAUGAAAAGGAGUACCUCAAAGCAGGUUCCCUGCAACAUGGAUCUCUACAACUGGGGCAAACAGGUGAUAAAACUGGAAACAUGAAGACAGCUUUAAUUACAAGCAUUCAAUAAUCCUACAUGGAAUCCUCUUCCAAACAUGAGUGGGUGGUUAAGGAGCUUCAAGCAGUGCCAGGGGAAGUUGGAUCCCCUUCUGAAGAGGAGGAGGAAAAGGAUCAAGAGCUUCAGCCUGUGCAAGGAGAUAUCACGUUGCAACAAAUGCUGCCAGAUCCCAGCAGUUCUAGUAUCACUCUCUUAAAAUGUCAGGAAAGCAACAAGAAUGUUCUGCCUUCCAAGGAUGAAGAGAGCAUGGAUCCUGCCAGCUUAGACAACUUCGCAAGCCAAGGGUGUGAAAGAAACAAAGGAGUUCUGGUUACAAAUCAAAGGCACACAGAGGCAGAGGAAAAGCAUGAUAAUUCUCUUUCUCAAAGCCUUGGUGAUUUGCCAAUAGCAACAACAUGGCUAUUGGUCUUCUUACUCAGAUAGUAUAUCUGUCUUUUGUUCCUGUUCUCCUUCUGCACCUUGAUUGGAAAGAUUCCUCAGCUACAACCUUGGUUUAUGACUGACCUUGCUUUCCCCUGGCCUUUCCUGAAGCUCAGCGCUUGCAAGCUUCACACACUCAACCACAGAAUUCUGGUUUGGUACUUCUUUCUUUUGCUAUAGCAACUGAUGCCAGGUACCUUUGUUCAAAUUUCAGCAUUUUUAACCCCAAAAAUGCCAAAGCAAGCUUCAGUGAUGUGUAGAGGUGCCCUAACUGUCCCAAGCUCAGCUGAAGGAGGCAGUUCUUGAAUCAUGCUGCACCUGCACUGGUAAGGUACAAGUGUCCAUGCUUCAUCCCAUGUGGAUAAUUUUUUUUUCUGAAGCCAGUAUAUACUCCUAUUGGCUAGGCAUUGAGACUGUCAUUCACAGCAUUAUUUUUUUAAUGAAUAAUUCAAGCAAUUUUCCAAUUUUUCAAGAUGAAAUGUAUACAGUAUAUUGUUUUAAUGAAUAAUUCAAGCAAUUUUCCAAUAUUUCAAGAUGAAAGGUAUCGGUCCAGAUAGGCGGGGUAUAAAUCAAAUAAAUAAUAAUAAUAAUAAUAUUAUAUUGUUGCA